rnacentral:rRNA from 1 species
GACGAACGCUGGCGGCGUGCUUAACACAUGCAAGUCGAACGGGUCUGCCCUGUUUUUUGCGGGGUGGGUCAGUGGCGAACGGGUGAGUAACACGUGAGUAACCUGCCCCUCACUUCUGGAUAACCGCUUGAAAGGGUGGCUAAUACGGGGUGUUCUGGCUGUGCCGCAUGGUGUGGCUGGGAAAGAUUCACUUUUGUGGUGUUUUGGUGGGGGAUGGGCUCGCGGCCUAUCAGCUUGUUGGUGGGGUGAUGGCCUGCCAAGGCUUUGACGGGUAGCCGGCCUGAGAGGGUGGGCGGUCACACUGGGACUGAGAUACGGCCCAGACUCCUGCGGGAGGCAGCAGUGGGGGGUAUUGCACAAUGGGCGGAAGCCUGAUGCAGCGACGUCGCGUGAGGGAUGGAGGCCUUCGGGUUGUGAACCUUUUUCGCCGGUGAAGAAGGUCCUGCUCUUUGUGGGGGGGUUGACGGUAGCCGGGUUAUGAAGCGCCGGCUAACUACGUG